GGGUUGGGCUGUUCGCCCAUUAAAGUGGCACGCGAGCUGGGUUCAGAACGUCGUGAGACAGUUCGGCCCCUAUUUGUUGUGGGCGUUGGAAAUUUGAGAGGAGCUGACUCUAGUACGAGAGGACCGAGUUGGACGAACCUCUGGUCUAUCUGUUGUGACGCCAGUUGCAUUGCAGAGUAGCUACGUUCGGACUGGAUAAGUACUGAAAGCAUAUAAGUACGAAGCCAACCUCAAGAUGAGAUUUCCCUUAAGGGUCGUUAAAGAUGAUGACGUUGAUAGGUUGCAAGUGUAAAGGCAGUGAUGUCAAAGCUGAGCAAUACUAAUUACCCGUGAGCUUUCUAACU
rnacentral:rRNA from 1 species